ACAAAAGUUCUAUAAACUAAUUAUUUACACAUUCUAAUGAUCGUGGCGCUUUAGGGACCCAAGAGUGACCCCAUGACGGCGCCAAACAAAAAAAAAAGUUCGAAACGAAUUUAAUGAUUUUCUCUCGUUUGAUUGGGACUAAAAACUACUAUAGAUUUGGAGAGGCGGCGACACGCCCAGGCCAAUAAAUUUGGUCUCGUUUUGUGGGACAGCUAAAAGUA